UGUUAAAAUAGCCAGCCGCGUGCUGCCAGCCGUGUUUUCGUUGGCGGAACCCCCAGUGGUAGUUUUCCACCUGCUUGUGCCGAAAGCCCAUAACCAAAAAGCAAUUGCAGACCUGCAGAGGUCCGAGCAGAUCACACCCAAUUCCCCGGAGCAGUUGGAGCGAGUGGCCCACAAGUUCAACGAGGAUUUGCAGCAGAAACUCCUCUCGACGCGCACCGCCAGCGACCAGGCCCUCAAGUACCGUGUUGUGGAGCUCUGCGCCCUCAUCCAACGCACCCCCGCCCUUGAGCUCUACACCCAUCUGCGAAGCGGGCUCCAGAAGGAGCUCCAGUUGGCCACCGAGAAGAGUGUGGCUUCCAGUGCCGGGCAGUCGAUGCCAAUGCCAUACAACAUGAACAACGCCGGCUACAUGGACACCAGCGACAUAAUGGUGGGGGUGACUAAUGGUGCCAUGGCCCCCAGCCACAACGUCGUUCCAUCUCCCGGACUGGGAAUGGUCACCCCGAAGGUGGAGCUGUACGAGGUGCAGCACCAGAUCGUGUCCACCCUCCACGAGUUCACCAGUUGCCGCAACGCUCUGAACGGCCUCGUCCAGAACUACACCUAUAUGAUGAACUCGAUGCCAUCGCCCAACGCCGAGGUGCUCCUCAAGAGCCUCCUUGACGAGAAGGCCUCCAUUGUCAAUCUACUGCGGCGCAGCUUUAUGUACUACGAGACCCUGAACGACCUGGUCAUCCACGAGCUGAAGAACUGGCGGCGCCAGCAGGCCCUCGCCGGCAACGGAGCUGCCUUCAACGAAGGCGCCCUGGACGACAUCCAGCGCUGCUUCGAGAUGCUGGAGGCACUGGUGGCCCAAAUGCUAGAGGCUGUCAACGAGCUAAUUCGCGUGCAGCUGGGCACCGAUGAGCCAGAACUAAUCCAUCUGCGGGAGCAGGUGAAGAUUGCACAGAAGAACCUGGUGAUAUCCGCCUUCAUAGUGGACAAGCAGCCGCCGCAGGUGAUGAAGACCAACACACGCUUUGCCGCCUCGGUGCGCUGGCUCAUUGGCUCCCAGCUGGGCAUCCACAACAACCCACCCACCGUGGAGUGCAUCAUUAUGUCAGAAUUGCAGUCGCAACGCUUCGUGUCCCGCGGCACCCAGCUGGAAAGCACCAUGUCCGGGCAAUCCUCGGGUGAAAUUCUAAACGCCUCCAGCAGCAUGGAGUACCAGUCGAACAACCACGUCUUCUCCGCCAGUUUCCGCAACAUGCAGCUGAAGAAAAUCAAGCGUGCCGAGAAGAAGGGCACUGAGAGCGUCAUGGACGAGAAGUUCGCUCUCUUCUUUUACACAACCACGUCGGUGAAUGACUACCACAUCCGCGUCUGGACCCUUUCUCUGCCUGUGGUGGUGAUCGUGCACGGCAAUCAGGAGCCCCAGUCGUGGGCCACCAUUACCUGGGACAAUGCCUUCGCGGAGGUUAUCCGCGAACCGUUUGUAAUCACCGAUCGGGUCACCUGGCCCCAGCUAUCGGCGGCACUAAACACAAAGUUCGGAUCCAGCACACAGCGCUUCCUGACGGCGGACAACCUGGAGUUCCUCUUUGAGAAACUUCAGCGGGAGGAGCGCUCCGAGUAUAUUACGUGGAACCAAUUCUGCAAGGAGCCCAUGCCCGACCGGACGUUCACUUUCUGGGAAUGGUUCUUUGCCAUCAUGAAACUCACCAAAGACCACAUGUUGGGCAUGUGGAAGGCUGGCUGCAUCAUGGGCUUCAUCAACAAGGCCAAGGCGCAGGAUGCCUUGUUGCGUUCGAAUACGGGAAUCGGGACCUUCCUGCUUCGCUUCUCCGACAGCGAGCUCGGUGGUGUCACCAUUGCCUACGUGAACGAAAUGGGAUCGGUCACCAUGCUGGCUCCUUGGACGGCCCGUGACUUCCAGGUCCUUAACCUGGCUGAUCGCAUCCGCGACUUGGAUGUUCUUCGCUGGCUUCACCCCUCUGACACCACUAUGGUGGCCCAGCUGCGCGACCGCGCCUUCGGCGAGUUCUUCUCGAGGCGUCAGGAACGAAACCCCCGCUCUCUAGAACCCUCCCCCGGAUAUGUGCCGAGCACGCUGCACGUCCAGGUCUGUAGCAGCAACGGCGAUGGUGGAUCCAUCAGCGGCACUCCGCAGCACGUGCCGCAGCAAGACACCUUACCAAUGGGAAAUGUUUCGCCAUUGAGCAUUGUGCCCUAUUUGAAUAGCCCACGAACUGAGGAUUCCGAUUCCGAUGACAGCCAGGUGGCCGAAGCACUGGGCCAGAUCCUUGCUAAUACCCCGCCCAACCACCCCCUCUUGGAUCAGUUCAAUAACUCGCUCCUGGGUAUCACAGAGAUCAGUAACGCCUUGAGGGAUAGCCUAAUAAGUGACGAGUCACCAAGUGCCAGUGAUCUAGUGGACGAACUGAUGAGGGAUGACGAUAAUCUCGUGCUGCGAUCCUGUAGAUCGGGAGUUAGAAAUUUUUAUUGACAAGAAAAGAGAUAAAACACGCUGUGCCAUUGCCUUCACUCUGUCUAUCUAAUCUGCCACCGGUUCUGACACUUACCGCAAGCGGUGAUUUCGGAAUGACGGACUUUGAUUCGAUGACGAACUUUGAGCUUUUGUGAAUCGCCAAACAACCUCCAGAACAACAUCCACCACAACAACAUGAAUUUGAACUACCAGAGCAAUGCAUGCAAAUUGCGACACCUGAACACAAACACCUUUGCCACACAACCAGAACAUUUCUUAUAUCGUGAUUAUGAUUGUGUCUGACGUAUGCAGCCAGUUCCUUAUGGAAUGCCUGCCUUGUAUAAACCUAUGGAAUGUGUCCCGAGCAUGUGUUAUUCGUUUUGUAUUUUUAUGUAUAACUCUUUAUAUAUGUAGACAUAUACUUUGAUUUUUUUGUACCAUUGCGUUUUUCUGUGACAAAGCAUUACUUUUAAACGAUGCGACCUGCGACCGAUGGCGAGGAUAACUGGCUGGCGGAGCAUCGCUUUAGUUAGUUAGUAACUAUUUGUUGAAUCUAAAUUUAUGAGUUUAAUUUGAAUCGAUUACGUUUAACAACUAAGUGUAAAAUUUACCAUAUUUUGCGUGCUAAGACCUAUGUUUAGAGCGAUUUAGAGCGACGAAGAGGAAAUCGAACGACGAGCAGCCCUGCGAGAUAAGAAUUGCGUUAAUUUUAGUUAUGUAUCAUGUAAGAACCAUUGUGAAUUUGCUUUAUGUCAAAACACCCUCCUUUAAUUGGCUUCCAAUGCUGAAAGUGCGUAAAAUUUAACCAAUCCAUGUAUAUUUUUAGUUUGUUUGAGUCAGGGCACAGAUUGCAAUGCAUUUCAAAUGCAAUAGCCUAUUGCCUUUAGUCAGUUUACCAGAGACACGAGGGGAACCAACACAAAGUUUAUAUAUAUGCGACAAUGUAAGCAUAAUCAUCUAUGUAACAACUACAAUAACACACGAGUACACUAAGCUUUGCACGUGAACCUUUAUAAGACUUAAGACCACCCUCAAAAUAAAUGAGUAACUUAGUAAACAUUUCAAAAACA
rnacentral:misc_RNA from 1 species